rnacentral:lncRNA from 10 species
GAAAUAAUCCAGGAUCCAUUUCGUGUGGUCAUCUUGUCUCCCUGGUCCCCUCCAGCCUUUCCUCAUCUUUUGUGACCUGGUCACUCUGGAAGGGCGCUGGCCAGUUAGUCCACAGGAUGGGCCUCCCCUGGGGCUUUUCUGAUGCUUCCUUAUGAUGGCACUGGCAUCCUGAGGGGGAGGACCACAGAGAGGAGGUGCUCCUCAUCACACCACAUGGGGGUCCAUGCACCAGUGCCACUGCUUUCCAGGGCUCUUCACCUUCAUCACUGGUGGAGGUGGCGUCUGCCAAGAAGCAGAAAGUUGAGGCUUAGAAGGUGCACGGCCCUACCUCUUCCGAGGUGCCCCUGCGGGCUGUCUACAGACCAGGCAGCACAUGCCUGAUAGCAGCUGCAUAAGGAAAAGCAGGAGCCAGCUCGUGCACAGUGGCCUCAAGUGUGCACUGGGCAUGUUCUCUGCCUCACCAUCCCUGUGUGACAGAUGAAGCUUGAGAAGCCUCUGCCUGGGUGCGCAGCCCCACAGCCCAGCCUCUGCAGAGUGGGAGGGGAGCCAGGCCCUGCUUGGGUAGCAUUGCCAUGGCAACCUCUCCCCACGCUGCUCCUCGCUGAGACCCGGGCAUCUGUGGCCAUGGCGACUGGGCCUGCCACUGGCACAUCUGCAUAGCAACCAGAGAGGGUGCCGAGCGCAGCUGGGCCCCGCUCAGGAAAACAGGUACACUCAGAGCUUUUAUCAGUCAUUAAGGAGAAGCUGGGAGCCUCUAUGGGGAGAAAGGACAAAGGAUGCAGACAAAAGACUUGGAACCGCAAGUGGCUAAUAAAUCUAUGACAAGUGCCCAACAUUACCAGCGAUCAUAGAAAUGCAAAUGCAAACAACAAUAAGAUACUUAAAGAAAAACAACAACAACUAGUGCAAUUGGCAAGAGAUGAGGCACAAAAGAGAUAGGACCCAGUGUUGGCGGGGGGUGUAGGGAAUGGGGACUCGAACACCCUGCUGGUCUGAGUGCACAUUCAUGGAACAUUUCUGAGAAGGCAAUUUGCAAUCUGUAUCAAAAGCCUUUAAAAUGCACAUACCUUUUGAACCAACAAUUCUAGUUGUAGUAAUUUAUUCCAAGGUAAUAAUUAAGUGAGUAAAGAUUCAGCUCCAAGUGUGUUCCCUGUAGGGGCAAUUAUAAUACAAAAACUUUGAAA